rnacentral:rRNA from 1 species
AACGAACGCUGGCGGCAUGCCUAACACAUGCAAGUCGAACGAGACCUUCGGGUCUAGUGGCGCACGGGUGCGUAACGCGUGGGAACCUGCCUUUAGGUUCGGAAUAACUCAGAGAAAUUUGAGCUAAUACCGGAUGAUGUCUUCGGACCAAAGAUUUAUCGCCUUUAGAUGGGCCCGCGUUGGAUUAGCUAGUUGGUGGGGUAAAGGCCUACCAAGGCGACGAUCCAUAGCUGGUCUGAGAGGAUGAUCAGCCACACUGGGACUGAGACACGGCCCAGACUCCUACGGGAGGCAGCAGUGGGGAAUAUUGGACAAUGGGCGAAAGCCUGAUCCAGCAAGGCCGCGUGAGUGAUGAAGGCCUUAGGGUUGUAAAGCUCUUUUACCCGAGAUGAUAAUGACAGUAUCGGGAGAAUAAACUCCGGCUAACUCCGU